rnacentral:rRNA from 1 species
CCUACGGGUGGCUGCAGUGAGGAAUAGUGGUCAAUGGCCGGAAGGCUGAACCAGCCAUGCCGCGUGAAGGGCAGGGACCUAGGGGCGUUAAACGUCUUUUGUGCGGGAGCAAGAAUGGUCACGGGUGGCCAGACGAGAGUACCGGACGAAUAAGCAGCGGCUAACUCCGUGCCAGCAGCCGCGGUAAGACGGGGGAUGCAAGCGUUAUCCGGAUUUAUGGGGGUUAAAGGGGGCGGAGGCUGUGAGGUAAGUCAGCGGGGAAAUGCCCCCGCUCAACGGGGUGAAGUGCCAUUGAUACGGCCUUGCUGGACUGCGGAUGCCGUGGGCGGCAUGUGUUUUGUAGCGGUGCACUGCAUAGAUAU